CCUAAUUUCUUAAUCUCACUCGACCCCUUUAAUUAUACUGAGAACUUCUAUAAGAUUAUAGAACCUUUUAUGCUAAAACUAGUAACAAGAGGUAACCCCUCUCUACAAUGUGAGUAUACGCCAACAAGAACCCACCAUUGGCAAUCAACAGAUUUAAAUAAAAGUGGCAACUUCCCCAGAAAACCCCCCCCUACUCGACUGUUAACCUAAUACCAGAACAUUUCAAGAAAGAUUAAAAGAAAGAGAAGGAACUCGGCAAACAUUAGCCCCGCCUGUUUACCAAAAACACCGCCUCUUGUCCCCCUAUAAGAGGUCUAGCCUGCCCAGUGACUUCUGUUCAACGGCCGCGGUAUCCUAACCGUGCAAAGGUAGCGUAAUCACUUGUCCCCUAAAUAGAGACUAGUAUGAAUGGCAUCACGAGGACUAAGCUGUCUCCUCCCCCUAAUCAGUGAACCUAAUAACCCCGUGAAGAAGCGGGAAUUUUUAUAUAAGACGAGAAGACCCUGUGGAGCUUAAAUCACUAUAACACCUGCCACCUCACUCUAUCUACCCAGGUUUUCCCCCCCCCCGUGGCACUAUGAUUAUAUGUUUUUGGUUGGGGUGACCGCGGAGAAAAACCUAUCCUCCACAAUGAAAGGGACUUCCCUAAACAGUAAGCUACAACUUUAUGUAUCAGCAAACUGACAUCCAUUGACCCAAUAUAUUUGAUUAACGAACCAAGUUACCCCAGGGAUAACAGCGCAAUCCACUUCGAGAGCCCCUAUCGACAAGUGGGCUUACGACCUCGAUGUUGGAUCGUGGUAUCCUAGUGGUGCAGCCGCUACUAAA
rnacentral:rRNA from 1 species